UUCCAUGGCCAUGCCACCCUGAACGUGUCCAAUCCCGUCUGAUCUCGGAAGCUAAGCAGGGUUGGGCCUGGUUAGUACUUGGAUGGGAGACCACCUAGGAAGACCAGGUGCUGUAGACG
rnacentral:rRNA from 1 species